AAGAAAAAGAUAAUGUUUAUACCAUUUACUAGCUGACGUAUACAAAGCAAAUCUUAUUACAAUGUUUAUAUGUUUCUAUAUAAGCUGAAAUAUCUAAAUACAACUUAUGUUAUUUACUUUCUAUCGAAUAUCGUAUGAGAUCAGUCUUUCGGCAACCACCGAGGUGGAAUGUUGGAAGAUCCCGUAUAAACAUACGUUUGUAAGUAGAUACAUAUGUACAUAACUAGAUACAGAAUAUACACACCCACGCACACAUACACAAAGUAUAUAGUAGUCUUUCCUUGGGUAUUGCUUGAGAUUUAUUAUAUUGUACAGACAGUAACGAGCAACCUUUCUUCUGCAAUGAGCCAAAAUUAAAUAUCUGAUAUUGUUAUUGAUACAUUAUGAACUAAAAAUGUUUAAGUUGAUUAAAAAGAAAUUAAUACUUGGUAGAAAAAGAAAAAAUUACACAUUAUUGAAGGGUAUUUGUUAUAUUCGGCAUCAAUUUACAAUGAAAUGUUUUCUAUAAUACCAUUGAUUUUUUAUUAGCAAUACUUUUAAUGUGUACGCAUAAAUGUAUGUAUAUAUAUUUUUGUAAUGGACCGAAAUCUAUUAGUUGUUUAUUUUUAAUUAGAUAUAUGAUUCUACUUCUCGAUAAUAAACUUUUCAUUAUUAUAUUGGAAGACACAAUGGAAGAUAUCGAAUUAAACUCUAAUACAAUCUUUUAUUCGUUUGUCGUUAACGUUAAGAAUUUUGAUAAAAGAUUUCAAUUCUUCGGUUAAUAGUUAAAAUGCCUUUCAAAUGGCCGUAGAUAACAACGCUCUUCACAAAUGUAUCAACGUAAGAUGUAAUACCACUGAUUAAGAAAUUCACUAAUUAUAGUCGACUAUUGUCAUUUUUCGAUGCAAGGUGUAAGUCGUAUUUGCAUUGAUACGCAGAUGAAUACGUAUAUGAUAAUGUUUUUUUAUAAACCCUGAGUUACUCAUUUCUGAUACAGAUUGAGAUAUAUACAGAUAUAUCUAUAUAUAUAUAUAUAUAUAUAUAUAUAUAUAUAUAUUAUAUAUUAUAUAUUAUGUAUAUAUAAAUACAGAGAGAGAGAGAGAGAGAGAGAAAGAGGAAGGGUAAACAAAUCGAGAAUUUUGAAUAAAACAUAGAACGAUAUCGAGAUUAAAUUGAAAGGAAACUUUGUUAGCUUCUUGACAAAAAGGCACUCUAUAAGGGAAACAUCAGCCAUCCAAAGUACAAUUAUAUCAAAAACCCAUUCAAAUUAAAGACGAUUACAUAUGUAUCCGAUUAUGAUACCAUAUAUUUCUUAUUAUUCCUAUAAAAGAAAAGAAAAAAAAAAAAAAACAGUUAAGAAAAAUAAGAAAGAAAUCUCAUCUUUAUUUCCCAAUAUCUUCAAAUAUGAUUGAUUUAUAAAGACAAUAAGAAUAAUAAUAACAAUAAUAAUAACAACAAAAAUAUGAAGAAGAAGAAGAAGAAGAAGAAUAAAGUAUCUUGGUAUAUUCAAUUUUGCUUUCUUGUUCUUAUGUAGUAUAUGUAUCUAGUACAAUGUAAAUUUUAAUGUGGGAUUUCAUUUAAACGUGUCAUUUAAUGCGUAUUAUGAUUUAUAUGCAUUAUUCAUACACAUAUCAAUGUAUGUGUAUUUAAAUGAAUAUAGAAUUUAUACCUCGUUGACAAAUUAAAUUUACAAUAUUGAAAUAAGGGUGUCACGAUCAGGUACACGCAUCACGUUCGAUCGUCGACGAUCUUUCUAUAUAUAAAAUAUAUCGAUACCAAACGAUAUUACAUUUGUUAAAAGGCAUAUACGUAUUACGUUCAUACGUGUACACGUGCAUACAGAAAAAUUAAGAAAAAAAUAGCAAAAUAGAGCGAGGAAGAGAGAGAGAGAGAGAGAGAUGAAAGUUCAUUGUUUACGAGGAAGGAUGUCUGUCCUAACAAACGGAGUUUUCGAUGAGGUCUCGUAUUUUUCUAUUCCUGUUGCUUUCUUUUAUUUUUUGAUUUUGAUUAUUUAACUAAUUAAAUUAUUAAAAUUUUAAUAUAUAUAUAUAUAUAUAUAUAUAUAUAUAUACAUAUAUAUAUAUAUAAUAUUAUCACACUGAAAGAAAAAGAGAAUGUUUAUACCAUUUACUAGCUGACGUAUACAAAGCAAAUCUUAUUACAAUGUUUAUAUGUUUCUAUAUAAGCUGAAAUAUCUAAAUACAACUUAUGUUAUUUACUUUCUGUCGAAUAUCGUAUGAGAUCAGUCUUUCGGCAACCACCGAGUUGGAAACUUGAAAGAUCCCGUUUAAACAUACGUUUGUAAAUAGAUAGAUAUGUAUAUAUGUACAUAUGUACAUAACUAGACACAAUAUACACACCCACACACUCAUACACAAAGUAUAUAGUAGUCUUUCUCUUGGGUAUUGCUUGAGAUUUUAUUAUAUUGUAUAGACAGUAACGAGCAACCUUUGUUCUGCAAUGAGCCAAAAUUAAAUAUCUGAUAUUGUUAUUUAUAGAAUUCAUUAUGAACUAAAAAUGCUUAUAUUGAUUAAAAAAGGAAUUAAUGCUUGAUAGAAAAAGAAAAAAUUACACAUUAUUGAAGGGUAUUUGUUAUUUUCGGCAUCAAUUUACAAUGAAAUGUUUUCUAUAAUUCCAUUGAUUUUUUAUUAGCAAUACUUUUAAUGUGUACGCAUAAAUGUAUGUAUAUAUAUUUUUGUAAUGGAACGCAAUCUAUUAGUUGUUUAUUUUUAAUUAGAUAUAUGAUUCUACUUCUCGUUAAUAAACUUUACAUUAUUAUAUUGGAAGAUACAUUGGAAGAUAUUGAAAUAAACUCUAAUACAAUCUUUUAUUCGUUUGUCGUUAAAGUUACGAGUUUUGAUAAAUGAUUUCGAUACUUCCGUUAAUAGUUAAAAUGCGUUUCAACUGGCCGUAGAUAACAAAGCUCUUCACAAAUGUAUCAACGUAAGAUGUAAUACCAGUGAUUAAGAAAUUCACUAAUUAGAGUCGACUAUUGUCAUUUCUCGAUGCAAAAUGUAAGUUGUAAUUGCAUUGAUACGUACAUGAAUACGUAUAUGAUAAUGUUUUUUUAUAAACCCUGAGUUACUCAUUUCUGAUACAGAUUCAGAUAUAUACAGAUAUAUAUAUGUAUUAUAUAUUAUAUAUAAUAUGUAUAUAUAUAUACAGAGAGAGAGUGAGAGAGAGAGAGAAAGAAAUGGUAAACGAAUCGAGAAUUUGAAUGAAACAAAGAACGAUAUCGAGAUUAAAUUGAAAAGAAACUUUGUUAGCUCUUGACAAAAAGGCAUUCGAUAAGGAAGCAUUAGCCGUCCAAAGUACAAUUAUAUCAAAGACCUAUUCAAAUGAAAGACGAUACAUAGGUAUCCUAUUAUGAUACCUUAUACUUCUUAUUAUUCAUAUAAAAGAAAAGAAGAAGAAAAAAAACAGUUAAGAAGAUUAAGAAAGAAAUUUCAUGUUUAUUUCCCAAUAUCUUCAAUUAUGAUUGAUUUAUAAAGACAAUAAGAAUAAUAAUAACAAUAAUAAUAACAACAAUAAUAUGAAGAAGAAGAAGAAGAACAAAGUAUCUUGGUAUAUUCAAUUUUGCUUUCUUGUUCUUAUGUGGUAUAUGUAGCUAGUACAAUGUAAAUUUUAAUGUGGGAUUUUAUUUAAACGUGUCAUUUAAUGCGUAUUAUGAUUUAUAUGCAUUAUUCAUACACAUAUCAAUGUAUGUGUAUUUAAAUGAAUAUAGAAUUUAUACCUCGUUGACAAAUUAAAUUUACAAUAUUGAAAUAAGGGUGUCACGAUCAGGUACACGCAUCACGUUCGAUCGUCGACGAUCUUUCUAUAUAUAAAAUAUAUCGAUACCAAACGAUAUUACUUUUGUUAAAAGGCAUAUACGUAUUACGUACAUACGCGUACACGUGCAUACAGAAAAAUUAAGAAAAAAAUAGCAAAAUAGAGCGAGGAAGAGAGAGAGAGAGAGAGAGAUGGAAGUUCAUUGUUUACGAGGAAGGACGUCUGUCCUAACAAACGGAGUUUUCGAUGAGGUCUCGUAUUUUUAUAUUCCUGUUGCUUUCUUUUAUUUUUUGAUUUUGAUUAAUUAACUAAUUAAAUUAUAAAAAUUUUAAUAUAUAUAUAUAUUCAUAUAUAUAUAUAUAUAUAAUAUUAUUACACUGAAAGAAAAAGAGAAUGUUUAUACCAUAUACUAGCUGACGUAUACAAAGCAAAUCUUAUUACAAUGUUUAUAUGUUUCUCUAUAAGCUGAAAUAUCUAAAUCCACCUUAUGUUAUUUACUUUCUGUCGAAUAUCGUAUGAGAUCAGUCUUUCGGCAACCACCAAGGUGGAAUGUUGGAAGAUCCCAUAUAAACAUACGUUUGUAAAUAGAUACAUAUGUACAUAACUAGAUACAUAAUAUACACACCCACGCACACAUACACAAAGUAUAUAGUAGUCUUUCCUUGGGUAUUGCUUGAGGUUUAUUAUAUUGUGUAGACAGUAAUGAGCAACCUUUCUUCUGCAAUGAGCCAAAAUUAAAUAUCUGAUAUUGUUAUUGAUAGAAUUCAUUAUGAACUAAAAAUGUUUAAAUUGAUUAACAAAGAAAUUAAUACUUAAUAGAAAAAGAAAAAAUUACACAUUAUUGAAGGGUAUUUGUUAUUGUCGGCAUCAAUUUACAAUGAAAUGUUUUCUAUAAUUCCAUUGAUUUUUUAUUAGCAAUACUUUUAAUGUGUACGCAUAAAUGUAUGUAUAUACAUUUGUGUAAUGGAACGAAAUCUAUUAGUUGUUUAUUUUUAAUUAGAUAUAUGAUUCUACUUCUCGUUAAUAAACUUUACAUUAUUAUAUUGGAAGAUACAAUGGAAGAUAUCGAAUUAAACUCUAAUACAAUCUUUUAUUCGUUUGUCGUUAACGUUAAGACUUUUGAUAAAAGAUUUCAAUACUUCGGUUAAUAGUUAAAAUGCCUUUCAACUGGCCGUAGAUAACAAAACUCUUCACAAAUGUAUCAACGUAAGAUGUAAUACCACUGAUUAAGAAAUUCACUAAUUAUAGUCGACUAUUGUCAUUUUUCGAUGCAAGAUGUAAGUCGUAAUUGCAUUGAGGCGUAUAUGAAUAUGUAUAUGAUAAUGUUUUUUUAUAAACCCUGAGUUUAUUUCUGAUACAGAUUGAGAUAUAUACAGAUAUAUAUAUAUAUAUAUAUAUUAUAUAUAAUAUGUAUAUAUAUAUACAGAGAGAGAGAGAGAGAGAGAGAAAGAAAGGGUAAACGAAUCGAGAAUUUGAAUAAAACAAAGAACGAUAUCGAGAUUAAAUUGAAAAGAAACUUUGUUAGCUCUUGACAAAAAGGCAUUCGAUAAGGAAGCAUUAGACGUCCAAAGUACAAUUAUAUCAAAAACCCAUUCAAAUUAAAGAAGAUUACAUAUGUAUCUGAUUAUGAUACCUUAUAUUUCUUAUUACUCAUAUAAAAGAAAAGAAAAAGAAAAAAAAAACAGAUAAGAAGAAUAAGAAAGAAAUCUCAUCUUUAUUUCCCAAUAUCUUCAAUUAUGAUAGAUUUCUAAAUACAAUAAGGAUAAUAAUAACAAUAAUAACAACAACAAUAAUAUGCAGAAGAAGAAGAAGAAGAAGAAUAAAGUAUCUUGGUAUAUUCAAUUUUGCUUUCUUGUUCUUAUGUAGUAUAUGUAUCUAGUACAAUGUAAAUUUUAAUGUGGGAUUUCAUUUAAACGUGUCAUUUAAUGCGUAUUAUGAUUAAUAUGCAUUAUUCAUACACAUAUCAAGGUAUGUGUAUUUAAAUGAAUAUAGAAUUUAUACCUCGUUGACAAAUUAAAUUUACAAUAUUGAAAUAAGGGUGUCACGAUCAGGUACACGCAUCACGUUCGAUCGUCGACGAUCUUUCUAUAUAUAAAAUAUAUCGAUACCAAACGAUAUUACUUUUGUUAAAAGGCAUAUACGUAUUACGUACAUACGCGUACACGUGCAUACAGAAAAAUUAAGAAAAAAAUAGCAAAAUAGAGCGAGGAAGAGAGAGAGAGAGAGAGAGAUGGAAGUUCAUUGUUUACGAGGAAGGACGUCUGUCCUAACAAACGGAGUUUUCGAUGAGGUCUCGUAUUUUUAUAUUCCUGUUGCUUUCUUUUAUUUUUUGAUUUUGAUUAAUUAACUAAUUAAAUUAUAAAAAUUUUAAUAUAUAUAUAUAUUCAUAUAUAUAUAUAUAUAUAAUAUUAUUACACUGAAAGAAAAAGAGAAUGUUUAUACCAUAUACUAGCUGACGUAUACAAAGCAAAUCUUAUUACAAUGUUUAUAUGUUUCUCUAUAAGCUGAAAUAUCUAAAUCCACCUUAUGUUAUUUACUUUCUGUCGAAUAUCGUAUGAGAUCAGUCUUUCGGCAACCACCAAGGUGGAAUGUUGGAAGAUCCCAUAUAAACAUACGUUUGUAAAUAGAUACAUAUGUACAUAACUAGAUACAUAAUAUACACACCCACGCACACAUACACAAAGUAUAUAGUAGUCUUUCCUUGGGUAUUGCUUGAGAUUUAUUAUAUUGUGUAGACAGUAACG